rnacentral:rRNA from 1 species
UGCCAGCCUCCUCGGUAAUACUGAGGGUGCAAGCGUUAAUCGGAAUUACUGGGCGUAAAGCGCGCGUAGGCGGUUGUCUAAGCUAGAUGUGAAAGCCCCGGGCUCAACCUGGGAUGGUCAUUUAGAACUGGCAGACUAGAGUUUUGGAGAGGGGAGUGGAAUUCCAGGUGUAGCGGUGAAAUGCGUAGAUAUCUGGAGGAACAUCAGUGGCGAAGGCGGCUCCCUGGCCAAAGACUGACGCUCAUGUGCGAAAGUGUGGGUAGCGAACAGGAUUAGAUA